rnacentral:rRNA from 1 species
UACAGAGGUGGCAAGCGUUGUUCGGAAUUACUGGGCGUAAAGGGCGCGUAGGCGGCCUUCUAAGUCAGACGUGAAAUCCCCCGGCUUAACCUGGGAACUGCGUCUGAUACUGGGAGGCUAGAGUAUGGGAGAGGGAUGUAGAAUUCCAGGUGUAGCGGUGAAAUGCGUAGAUAUCUGGAGGAAUACCGGUGGCGAAGGCGGCAUCCUGGACCAUUACUGACGCUGAGGCGCGAAAGCUAGGGGAGCAAACGGG